UCGUAGGGGGGCUAGCGUUGUCCGGAAUCUUGGGCGUAAAGAGCGUGUAGGCGGUCCGGUAAGUCCGCUGUGAAAGUCGGGGGCUCAACCCUCGAAUGCCGGUGGAUACUGUCGGGCUAGAGUGCCGGAAGAGGCGAGUGGAAUUCCUGGGUGUAGCGGUGAAAUGCGCAGAUAUCAGGAGGAACACCUAUUGCGAAGGCAGCUCGCUGGG
rnacentral:rRNA from 1 species